CUCGCUGCCUGGGACCAGCGACGCGUGGCGUGGGGCUUGCGCUGUCUGCGCCUGCGCCCGGCGUCCCUCCUUAAAUGUCCGGCGGGGAGGGGCCUGUGACCUGAGGCCACCGGACUCUCGCCGCGGGUGCACCUGGCUGGGCGUGGGCCAGCGAGGGGCCCGGCACCCCCAGCCCGCGGGAUGACCUCACCUGUAAAGUGCUAGCCAAUAUUAACCAUCGCUAUCUACCGCUGAGGAAACGAGGUCAUCGGGUACUCAAGGCAGAGCUGGAAGAGCACAUGACUCCUGAUGCUGCUGAUGUUCUGCGCUGUAACAGAGAGGCAGCUGGAGAGGAUCGGAGUGGGCUGAGCCCAGCUGCCUGGGUUGGAGCACCUAGGCUCUGCCACUACCUUCGGCAUGCCACUUACCACCCUGAGCCUCUGUUUUUUCAUCUGUAAAAUGGAGUUGCUAACAAAACAUGUCUCAAAAAGUUGUGGAAAAGCAGUGUCUGGUAUAUUCAAAGU
rnacentral:lncRNA from 10 species